UUGGGGAGCAGGGAACAGGCUCCUUCUCUGGAAUGAACUUCUCCCGGGAGGCCAGCCUUUCCCCAUUGAUGAUUUGCAGGACUAAGUAUGGAACCCAGAGCCUCUUGCGUGCUAGACAAAUGUGUACUUUUCUACCGAGUAAUCCCCCAGUCCCUUCCCUUCCAUUUUAAUGCAUUCUCGAUCAUGCCUACAGCCAUGGCAGUCCCCCCAGCCUCCUAUGGAUGAAAGCCAGUGACUGAGUAGAAAUCAGGCCUCACUGGAACCCUGAGCAGAGGUUGGACAACUGCUUCUCAGGAACUCAGGAAACUCAUGCAUCAGAAAAGGUGACUCAUAAAUAAACCAAAAGAAUAUGGCUGCACAGAAAGAAGGUGAGCCGGUCCGAGCACCAGGAAGGAAGCUCCCCCACCACCAUCCUGUGCUCCUAGGGCAGAGAAGGUGAACCGGUCCCAGCACCCAGAAGGAAGCUCUCCCGCCGCCAUCCCAGGCUCCUAGGGCAGAGAAGCUGAGCUGUGUGGGUGCCAGAAGCAACCCCCUCCCCGUGGAAAUGAGAAGACACGUAAACAAGCCUCAAAAACAGACUUCCAGAUCACCUACAGCAACCUCAAAGGGAAACAAUAUGGAACAAUCUGAUACUCAACCACCUGGAGUCUCUGAACUGGCAACAAAAGAAGAUCUGGGAAAAAUGAAAUCAGAAAUAAUUGCUCAGAUAACAGCAAAGAUUGUGCUCAUAGUGCAAGACAUGAUUAAUAAAUCUAGAGAGGACACAGAUUAAAAAAAUAGAGGAUCUGAGGAACAUGAUGGAAUCCCAACAUAGGAAACAAAUGAAAUCCAUAAAACAGAUGCAAACAGAUUACCAGGAGAUUAAAAACGCCACCAAAAGUCUGCGCAGCAGAAUGAACCAAUGUGAGGAUAGAAUUUCACAUAUAGAAGAUAAGAUUGCAAUUAGUGACCAGGAAAAGAAAAAUUGCUUUAAAAUUGUAAAGGAACACGAGAAAUCAAUCCAGCAGCUGCUAGACGAUACAAAGAAGAAUAACAUAAGACUGAUUGGAGUCAAUGAAGAAAGAGGAGAGAGUGCAGAUGACAUAAAAAAAACUCUUCACAGAAGUGAUGGUAGAAAACUUCCCAAGCAAGGGAAAAGAACUUGACAUAGAGACAAGUGAGGCAUAUAAGACUCCAGCUAGUCUUGAUAAAAAAAAAAAAAAUCUACACAUAGGCAUAUAAUAGGAUUCCAGAAAUCCAACAGAAGAACAAAAUUCUACAAGCAGUGAGAGAAAAGAAACAAAUCACAUACAAAGGAAAGCCCAUCAGAAUCAGAGCAGACUUCUCAAUGCAAACCCUCAAGGCAAGAAGAGUUUGGAGUGAUGUAUUUCAAGCCCUAAAGGAAAACAGCCUCCAAUCCAGAUUGAUGUACCCUGCAAAACUAUCUUUCAAAAUUAAUGGAGAAAUAAGAUACUUUCGGGAUAAAGAGCACCUCAGGAACUUCAUGCAUACCAAACCAACACUCCAAAAAAUUUUAGACAAUACCCUAGGAAAAGGCAAUGAGGAUCACAACCCCUGGAAACCCAGCAGAAUGAAUCCACUGGGCAUGACAAAUUAAAUGCAAAGGGGGAGACUCCAACAAAAAGAAAAAGUCAUGACAAGGCUUUUAAAACUUUUAACUUCAUCUCCCUAAUGAGUGCAUAAUUCAAUCUUGUUAUUGUACUGAUUAGUGUUUUUCUGAUUCUAGAGUUGCACACCUUUCCUUGUGCUAUACUGGCUAUUUAUCAUCUUC
ensembl:lncRNA